UGCAGUCGAACGGUAGCAGGAAGUGCUUGCACUUNGCUGACGAGUGGCGGACGGGUGAGUAAUGCUUGGGAACUUGCCUUUGCGAGGGGGAUAACAGUUGGAAACGACUGCUAAUACCGCAUAAUGUCUACGGACCAAACGGGGCUUAGGCUUCGGCGCAGAGAGAGGCCCAAGUGAGAUUAGCUAGUUGGUGGGGUAAAGGCUCACCAAGGCGACGAUCUCUAGCUGUUCUGAGAGGAAGAUCAGCCACACUGGGACUGAGACACGGCCCAGACUCCUACGGGAGGCAGCAGUGGGGAAUAUUGCACAAUGGGGGGAACCCUGAUGCAGCCAUGCCGCGUGUGUGAAGAAGGCCUUCGGGUUGUAAAGCACUUUCAGUUGUGAGGAAAAGUGAGUAGUUAAUACCUGCUCACCGUGACGUUAACAACAGAAGAAGCACCGGCUAACUCCGUGCCAGCAGCCGCGGUAAUACGGAGGGUGCGAGCGUUAAUCGGAAUUACUGGGCGUAAAGCGCACGCAGGCGGUUUGUUAAGCUAGAUGUGAAAGCCCCGAGCUCAACUUGGGAUGGUCAUUUAGAACUGGCAGACUAGAGUCUUGGAGAGGGGAGUGGAAUUCCAGGUGUAGCGGUGAAAUGCGUAGAUAUCUGGAGGAACAUCAGUGGCGAAGGCGACUCCCUGGCCAAAGACUGACGCUCAUGUGCGAAAGUGUGGGUAGCGAACAGGAUUAGAUACCCUGGUAGUCCACACCGUAAACGCUGUCUACUAGCUGUUUGUGGCUUUAAGCCGUGAGUAGCGAAGCUAACGCGAUAAGUAGACCGCCUGGGGAGUACGGCCGCAAGGUUAAAACUCAAAUGAAUUGACGGGGGCCCGCACAAGCGGUGGAGCAUGUGGUUUAAUUCGAUGCAACGCGAAGAACCUUACCUA
rnacentral:rRNA from 1 species